CGCGUUGUAUCGCGGAACCAAUCCUAAUUAUGUCAUAAUUGAUUAACGAUUUUAUUGACAUCUUAAAAUCUUGUAGAAUCAGAUUGCUUAAAAAACUUAUAUAUAUUACAAAUUGUAUAUAAUACAUAUUGAUAAAUAUUUUUUCGCGUUGUAUCGCGGAACCAAUCCUAAUUAUGUCAUAAUUGAUUAACGAUUUUAUUGACAUCUUAAAACCUUGUAGAAUCAGAUUGCUUAAAACCCCACUUAACAAGUAAACUCCACAAUGUAGCUAGACGACCGCCUAUAUAUACCGUUUUUAAAGAACACUUGAAACAUAUUCUUAGCUUUUGAUGUUUUGUUAAUUUUGAAUAAAGUCCAUUUGCUCUAUAGUAUUUUUCUUUAUUAGCUUGAUUGUAAUUAAUUUCCCUUUCACAUAAAAUAGUGAAGACACAAAAAUAUCCAGUUAAAUUAUUUUACUGGUAACAUUAUAAACAUAUUUAACUGUUAAAAUUAUUUUAUUUCGACGAAAAACAAAAAAAAACUAUUAAUUUUAGGACAAAACAAUAAUGAGUAAUUUAUUUAUGUUUUUAGAGGAAUGUAGUUGAAGCUAUGUAUGUACACGAAGUUUGUCUUUACUUGGUGUAAACUUGAAUACCAAAAAUCCAUAUUUUCAACGUUUACAUUUUCAAAUUAAUCACCAAUUGAAGUAAAUUCAGUUUGAAAAAGAAAAAAGAAAAAAUUCAACAAUUGUUUGUUUUGGCCAACUUGUUUGGUCUUAAAUUUAAUAUCAAAAGUUAUAAAAGUCAACAAAAACAUAAAGUAACGUGGAAAAUAUGAAGUUCGUUAGACAUUACGUGAUCUCUCUACUAAGAUAAUGUUCUUUUUCUUUGGACACAAAAAGAAAUCCAAAAUUUCACAAAAUUGGUUAAAACCAAAUUAAGAUUAAACACUGUCACACACACACACCAGUACUGAUUAUAAAAAAUAUAUUUUAUGGAAAUAGAAGAAUCAUAGAGUUUCAUAAAUGAAAAUAGAUAUCAGAAAUCUUAAAUUGUCUAAAUUUUAGAAAAAAACUUGCUAUCAAAUUUGUAAAUACCAUGAAUUAUAAUGUUUUAUAUCACAAUUGGAAUCUAAAUCUGCCAGAUUUAAAUAACAACUAUAUCAAUUUGGACAACCACUGCAAAUUGAGAGAACAACUAUCUGAGUGUUAACAUCAAAGUUUUAAUGAUACCUGCAUACAUAUAUCCAUCCAAUCCAAGUUCAAAUACAAAAACUUAGUUAAAAUUAAAUUAAAAAAUAUAAACAUUGUGUUAAUCACAAAAAAAGUUCAUACGAAAUUUAUUUUCAUAAAUAUUUAUGAACUAAUUAAUAAAAAUUAGUUUACAUUUAUUCUCUAUACUACACUAUAAUAUUGUAUCUCAAAAAUAUUGUACAUAUUUUGAAAACAAUAUAUAAAUACAGAUUAAAAUGAUAAUUCAACAUCCUGAAUUUAUAUUAAAUAUCUGAAACCAAAACCAAAUUCAAAUAAUCUUAAAAUAUCUUAUUUUCUACAAGUGAACUAAAAAAAUUCAUAUCAAAAUUUAUUUUCAUAAUUACUAAUCAAAACUCUGUUAUACAUAUUUGGAAAAGAAUAUACAAAUACAGAUUCAAAUGAUAAUUCCAAUAUCCUGAAUUUUAGAUUAAGAUGUCUGAAUCCAAAACCAAAUCCAAAUAAAUCUUACUUUCUAGAAGUAGAUCUUGUAUAUUUGACCUAUAUAUCUUGAAAAAAUCUUCUUUUUCUUUUUUUUCGUCAAAACAAAAAGAACCUUUCU
rnacentral:lncRNA from 1 species